UUGGAACUGAUUGAACGCUGGAACGCCUCUCGUUUCGACAGCUUGCACCACCAGAAAACCACGUACAUUUUCAUUCUCAACUGUGAGGGCACAGGCCCUCGCACCACCCCACCCCCGGUUUUUACGAGUCUGUCUGUUAUCAUAUAUAAACAUAACGCGACUACGAACAGUUUAUUCGUAAAGUUCACAAGGUCAUGGCGCCAUUUUCCUGUCAUGAUCCCAACAACCACUGCCACCGGACAAGGUAGUCACAACCGACAGCUGAUCCGAAAAUAACACGAGAGCAAGAAAGAAAAAAAGAAAGAAUCACUACAGCAAAACACGCACAGGGUGGACAACACAAAAACAACACAAUAGAACUGACCCACUCACCUUUAUCUCUUGCUUCCAAGUGUAGCAGAGAAAUCUAUUUCAAGACUGCCAAGGUCGAUAAUUAUUCGGAUGAUAUAGACGUUCUAUCCUGUCGCCGAUUCACAACCACAAAGCAAGUGGGAAUUUCUCAGCAAUGGAGGAAGUAUCGGGAGGCCGAAAAGCUUCGAUAGUCUCGUCUCGUAAAUGAUAAAAUACGUCUAUGGAGUUUGCAAUCUGGAUAUAUCCACUGCGUUUACGACUACAGUCAUGUUAUUCCCAUAAUGGUUUUGUUUGGUUUGGUAAACAAGCACCUACUUCCCAGUGCAAUCCGCAUUUAAUGACCGGAACUUCCCAAUACACAGAGCAUUCGAACCGGAGCAUUCUCCAGUUGGUUCAAAAGGCAAAAUGCGGAUCGCGCUCUUCGGACAAUUAAAAGAUGAACGAAUUGGUUCGACACUAACAGAUCAGAGGCGGAUCCAGGAUUUUUUUUAAAUGGUGGGCUUCCAAAUUAUAAAAAGGACAACUUUGAGUUUGUCUUCAGCAACAAAUCCUAGCUACGGCCCUGCAUGCAGUUCACAAUAAUAAAGAAAAUGCUUAUUUUUACUAAUUUAGUAAAUAACUAUUUAUA